GUGUUGAUGAUGAGAACUCAUACUGUCUCAAAGAUAGAAUGACUUAAAAAUCAUGCUCAACAGGAUUACACUGAAGCCC
ensembl:snoRNA SNORD115 Small nucleolar RNA SNORD115